rnacentral:rRNA from 1 species
GCACGACCGUACCGCAAACCGACACUGGUGCGCGAGAUGAGUAUUCUAAGGCGCUUGAGAGAACUCAGGAGAAGGAACUCGGCAAAUUGACACCGUAACUUCGGAAGAAGGUGUGCCUUUAGUAGGUGAAGUCCCUCGCGGAUGGAGCCCAAUGAGGUUGCAAAAAGUCGGUGGCUGCGACUGUUUAUUAAAAACACAGCACUCUGCAAACACGAAAGUGGACGUAUAGGGUGUGACGCCUGCCCGGUGCUGGAAGAUUAAAUGAUGGGGUGCAAGCUCUUGAUUGAAGUCCCAGUAAACGGCGGCCGUAACAAUAACGGUCCUAAGGUAGCGAAAUUCCUUGUCGGGUAAGUUCCGACCUGCACGAAUGGCGUAACGAUGGCCACACUGUCUCCUCCUGAGACUCAGCGAAGUUGAAAUGUUUGUGAUGAUGCAAUCUCCCCGCGGAAAGACGGAAAGACCCCAUGAACCUUUACUGUAGCUUUGUAUUGGACUUUGAACAGAUCUGUGUAGGAUAGGUGGGAGGCUUUGAAGCAGGGUCGCUAGAUCUUGUGGAGCCAACGUUGAAAUACCACCCUGGUGUGUUUGAGGUUCUAACCUAGGCCCGUAAUCCGGGUUGGGGACAGUGCAUGGUAGGCAGUUUGACUGGGGCGGUCUCCUCCCAAAGUGUAACGGAGGAGUUCGAAGGUACGCUAGUUACGGUCGGACAUCGUGACGAUAGUGCAAUGGCAUAAGCGUGCUUAACUGCGAGACUGACAAGUCUAGCAGAUGCGAAGCAGGACAUAGUGAUCCGGUGGUUCUGUAUGGAAGGGCCAUCGCUCAACGGAUAAAAGGUACUCUGGGGAUAACAGGCUGAUACCGCCCAAGAGUUCAUAUCGACGGCGGUGUUUGGCACCUCGAUGUCGGCUCAUCUCAUCCUGGGGCUGUAGCCGGUCCCAAGGGUAUGGCUGUUCGCCAUUUAAAGAGGUACGUGAGCUGGGUUUAAAACGUCGUGAGACAGUUUGGUCCCUAUCUUCCGUGGGCGCUGCAGAUUUGAGGAAGCCUGCUCCUAGUACGAGAGGACCGGAGUGGACGCACCUCUGGUGUAUCGGUUGUCACGCCAGUGGCAUUGCCGAGUAGCUAUGUGCGGAAGAGAUAACCGCUGAAAGCAUCUAAGCGGGAAACUCGUUUCAAGAUGAGAUCUGCCGGGGCCUUGAGCCCCCUGAAGAGUCGUUCAAGACCAGGACGUUGAUAGGUCGGGUGUGGAAGCGCAGUAAUGCGUUAAGCUAACCGAUACUAAUUGCUCGUGCGGCUUGAUCA